rnacentral:rRNA from 1 species
GACGAACGCUGGCGGCGUGCUUAACACAUGCAAGUCGAACGGAAAGGCCCUGCUUUUGUGGGGUGCUCGAGUGGCGAACGGGUGAGUAACACGUGAGUAACCUGCCCUUGACUUUGGGAUAACUUCAGGAAACUGGCGCUAAUACCGGAUAGGAGCUCCUGCUGCAUGGUGGGGGUUGGAAAGUUUCGGCGGUUGGGGAUGGACUCGCGGCUUAUCAGCUUGUUUGUGGGGUAGUGGCUUACCAAGGCUUUGACGGGUAGCCGGCCUGAGAGGGUGACCGGCCACAUUGGGACUGAGAUACGGCCCAGACUCCUACGGGAGGCAGCAGUGGGGAAUAUUGCACAAUGGGCGGAAGCCUGAUGCAGCAACGCCGCGUGCGGGAUGACGGCCUUCGGGUUGUAAACCGCUUUCGCCUGUGACGAAGCGUGAGUGACGGUAAUGGGUAAAGAAGCACCGGCUAACUACGUG